AAUUUAAUUUCCUCCAGUUUUACUGACAGAAGCUCAUUUAAGAAGGACACAAUAAGCAAGUUCAAAAUUAAUCAGUCAUUAUAACAAUCUGCUCCUUGUAUUCAAACAAGAAAUGGUAAAUCAGAUCACAUGUGGAAGGUAGUGGACUAACAAUCUAUGAGGAGAGAUUUUAAAUUACUGUACAACAGACUAAUUAUGGGCCUCCAAGAUGAAAUACAUUUGUCGUGUCUUUUUAAAAUGUGUGUCACACUUGUACCACAUGGCUUUAACCAUCCAGAUAUGAUUCCUUAAGGAUAAAAAAAAAUUAAAAAAUUAGGUAACAGGAGAUUUCCACUACAUAUAACAAACAAAGCUUAAUACAAAGUAGAAAUCGACUAUCAUGCGUUCAUUGAAUGGUAUGUCAGGAAAGUCUUACAACACAUGUUACCUGAACAUGUCAAUAGGAAUGUCAACAUCAUAUGGUAUACAUCAGAGAG
rnacentral:lncRNA from 1 species